CAGCGCAGACCGAGUGGAGCUGCUGGUUUCACUUCCUGUCGCUGCCAGGGGCGGACGGGGCGCAGAAGUAGGCUGCUGUGAGGUACAACGUCUUUUCCUUUUAGCUACAAAAACAAGAAGAAAGCUAAACUCUUAGGAACGCCCACAGCAACCUACUUAUUUUAAAUAAUCCCAAAUAAGUUACUUGCUUAGAAACUUAAUGCAUGUUGCAACCUCAAAAUGUAACCAGUUCCAUUCUUAAGUGACUCGUGGUCCCCAGGAGAGUAUGGGUGAAUGGCAGUGCAAUGGUAAACGAAAUUACUCAACAAUAGAGUAGCUUCAGCUCCAGCCCAUACUGGAUGAUGCCUGGCCUCAGCGAGUCCAAAUGCAUCCAGACCAGCAGGAGUUCAGGCACCCACUCCUCCAGUGCAUUUCCAGGCUACGUUUCUCUUCUUCCAGAGCACCAACAGGAAGAAUGGAGCAGUGUGCUGCCCUGCUUGGGUGUUCUGCUUGUUGGGGAGUAGCUACCAGUCCAGCUUUGCACCACACAAGGAGGAGAGCUGAGAGUUGAAGAUCAUUUACAGGAUAAUGAAGCGCAAAGCAGAGAAACCAUUUCUCCAUUUCCAUUGUUUUUUGACAUGCCAACAAGCAAAAGGCAAAGAGAGGCGCUCCAUCAACAAAGAGGUAAAGCCAGAGCCGGUGCCCCCUCCAAAGCUGUGGAAGAUGAGGAAUCCCUGCAGUCCAGAACAGGCAUCAGCCUAGAAACCAAAAGAUAAAGUAAAAGAAUAGGGGCUGAAAAAGAAGUAAAAGACUACAUCUACUGCAUUUGUUUAUUCUGAGAUGAAGGAGAGAGCAAUCAUCAGCAAUACACAGCACAUAUUUCAGGUCAGUAUUUCUUAAGAAAGGGCUGAUGAUAAUUUUGUUCUUUUCUUCCUUCACUGGCUUGACUUUUGACAUAAAAAUUAGUCUCUUAACAGUGAACUUCUCUCCCUGAACUCCACAGUUUUUUCAGUUAAUCUAACUGAAACAACAACAGCAACACAGAACCAUGUAAUCUACACUUCUAUGUCAGUGUUGGUAUUUUAGAGCUAUGCUAUUGAUAGAAUCAUAGAAUUGCUGAUGAAUUGCAUAGAAUUGAUGAAAAAUUACAUAUUCAGAAACAUCUUUUACGAAUAUCUGAAGCCAUGCAACUGGGAGGUCUCUGCUGGUCUUUUUUAGAGUGGUAAUGAUCUUUCUGUAGGUCUUGCAGUCUCCUUUCUGAGCUGAUUCACAUUUCCUGUAGUGCAUUUCUUCCUUCAGUGGAACUAAAGCAAUGUUUAAAAACU